rnacentral:tRNA from 1 species
GGGCGCAUAGCUCAGCUGGUUAGAGCGUACGGUUCACAUCCGUAAGGUCUCAGGUUCGAUCCCUGAUGCGCCCA